CAUGGCUCAGGAUGAACGCGGGCGGUAUGCUUAACACAUGCAAGUCGAACGGUCUCUUCGGAGAUAGUGGCGGACGGGUGAGUAACGCGUAAGAAUCUACCUUCAGGUUGGGGACAACCACUGGAAACGGUGGCUAAUACCCAAUGUGCCGAGAGGUGAAAGGCUUGCUGCCUGAAGAAGAGCUUGCGUCUGAUUAGCUAGUAGGUGAGGUAAGAGCUUACCUAGGCGACGAUCAGUAGCUGGUCUGAGAGGAUGAUCAGCCACACUGGGACUGAGACACGGCCCAGACUCCUACGGGAGGCAGCAGUGGGGAAUUUUCCGCAAUGGGCGAAAGCCUGACGGAGCAAUACCGCGUGAGGGAGGAAGGCUCUUGGGUUGUAAACCUCUUUUCUCAGGGAAGAAAAAAAUGACGGUACCUGAGGAAUAAGCAUCGGCUAACUCCGUGCCAGCAGCCGCGGUAAUACGGAGGAUGCAAGCGUUAUCCGGAAUGAUUGGGCGUAAAGGGUCCGCAGGUGGCAUUGUAAGUCUGCUGUUAAAGAGUUUGGCUCAACCAAAUAAAAGCAGUGGAAACUACAAAGCUAGAGUAUGGUCGGGGCAGAGGGAAUUCCUGGUGUAGCGGUGAAAUGCGUAGAUAUCAGGAAGAACAUCGGUGGCGAAGGCGCUCUGCUAGGCCAAAACUGACACUGAGGGACGAAAGCUAGGGGAGCGAAUGGGAUUAGAUACCCCAGUAGUCCUAGCCGUAAACGAUGGAUACUAGGCGUAGCUCGUAUCGACCCGAGCUGUGCCGUAGCUAACGCGUUAAGUAUCCCGCCUGGGGAGUACGCAGGCAACUGUGAAACUCAAAG
rnacentral:rRNA from 1 species